rnacentral:lncRNA from 1 species
CACACUUAAACCAUCCUCUGGAUCAUAAUUUUCUAUAUAUUCCACCACUCAUUCUACAUCAAUUGGUAGUAGUUCAUCUGAUCCUCGCAAAAACGUAAAUAACUAUGCAUUUCUAAAAUCUUUUUGCUUUUUCAAUGACCAACAGAUAUCUAACUUCAUCGAUUCCAUGUUGGUGAUAACUACAAGAGACGGCAAUCCCAGAUUGCACUUA